rnacentral:lncRNA from 10 species
UUGGGCUCCAACUCAAGUGCGAGCGGGCGAUGGGCGCGCGGGCGCGGGGCGGCUGAGCAGCGGCGGCGGCGGCUCGGGGACGGCGGCGACCCCCGCCUCCCGCCCCCGCCCCCCGCUCCGGACCGACCACGCCGCGCUCGCCGGGAGCUGCGGCCGCACCGGCGCGAACAAAGUGCGUUCCUCCCGGCGCGGCGGCGCCAGCCCGCGCGGGGACCGCCACCGAGCGAGGACCUAUAUCCAGACUUUGCCUGACACUGCAGGGUCCAAGAGAAUUAAAGAAAUAUGGAAUGACAUGAAGAAGAUUAGUUAAGGAUUAUAGGCUUUGAGGGCAAACACCUCAGUGAAGUGAAGCACAGGCAAGCUCCUGAGCUGUGGUUUGGAGGAGCCGUGUGUUGGAAGAAGAUGGCAGAUCCAGGAAUGAUGAGUCUUUUUGGCGAGGAUGGGAAUAUUUUCAGUGAAGGUCUUGAAGGCCUCGGAGAAUGUGGUUACCCGGAAAAUCC